rnacentral:rRNA from 1 species
AGAUUGAACGCUGGCGGCAGGCCUAACACAUGCAAGUCGAGCGGUAGAGAGGUGCUUGCACCUCUUGAGAGCGGCGGACGGGUGAGUAAUGCCUAGGAAUCUGCCUAGUGGUGGGGGAUAACGUUCGGAAACGGACGCUAAUACCGCAUACGUCCUACGGGAGAAAGCGGGGGACCUUCGGGCCUCGCGCCAUUAGAUGAGCCUAGGUCGGAUUAGCUAGUUGGUGAGGUAAUGGCUCACCAAGGCGACGAUCCGUAACUGGUCUGAGAGGAUGGACUA